rnacentral:rRNA from 1 species
UACGAAGGGGGCUAGCGUUGUUCGGAAUUACUGGGCGUAAAGCGCACGUAGGCGGACAUUUAAGUCAGGGGUGAAAUCCCAGAGCUCAACUCUGGAACUGCCUUUGAUACUGGGUGUCUUGAGUAUGGAAGAGGUGAGUGGAAUUCCGAGUGUAGAGGUGAAAUUCGUAGAUAUUCGGAGGAACACCAGUGGCGAAGGCGGCUCACUGGUCCAUUACUGACGCUGAGGUGCGAAAGCGUGGGGGAGCAAACAGG